rnacentral:rRNA from 1 species
UACGUAGGGACCGAGCGUUGUCCGGAAUCAUUGGGCGUAAAGGGUGCGUAGGCGGUGCGGUAAGUCGGGUGUGAAAUCUCGGGGCUUAACUCCGAAACUGCAUUCGAUACUGCCGUGCUUGAGGACUGGAGAGGAGACUGGAAUUUACGGUGUAGCGGUGAAAUGCGUAGAUAUGCGGAGGAACACCGAUGGCGAAGGCAAUCCCCUGGGCCUGCACUGACGCUCAUGCACGAAAGCGUGGGGAGCAAACAGG